rnacentral:tRNA from 1 species
AAAUCCGUCGAUUGAAAAAUCAUGAAGGGUCAAGUCCCUCUAUCCCCA